AGUGAACGCUGGCGGUAGGCCUAACACAUGCAAGUCGAACGGCAGCACAGUAAGAGCUUGCUCUUACGGGUGGCGAGUGGCGGACGGGUGAGGAAUACAUCGGAAUCUACUUUUUCGUGGGGGAUAACGUAGGGAAACUUACGCUAAUACCGCAUACGACCUACGGGUGAAAGCAGUGGAUCUUCGGACCUUGCGCGAUUGAAUGAGCCGAUGUCGUAUUAGCUAGUUGGCGGGGUAAAGGCCCACCAAGGCGACGAUGCGUAGCUGGCCUGAGAGGAUGAUCAGCCACACUGGAACUGAGACACGGUCCAGACUCCUACGGGAGGCAGCAGUGGGGAAUAUUGGACAAUGGGCGCAAGCCUGAUCCAGCCAUACCGCGUGGGUGAAGAAGGCCUUCGGGUUGUAAAGCCCUUUUGUUGGGAAAGAAAAGCAGCAGGUUAAUACCCCGCUGUUCUGACGGUACCCAAAGAAUAAGCACCGGCUAACUUCGUG
rnacentral:rRNA from 1 species